AUCUACAGCCAUGCUACUCUGAACAAGCCUGAUCCCAUCUGAUCUUGGAAGCUAAGCAGGGUCGGGUCUGGUUAGUACUUAGAUGGGAGACCACCUAGGAAGACCAGGUGCUGUAGAUG
rnacentral:rRNA from 1 species